UACGAGGGGGGUAAGCGUUGUUCGGAAUUACUGGGCGUAAAGGGCUCGUAGGCGGCCAACUAAGUCAGACGUGAAAUCCCUCAGCUUAACUGGGGAACUGCGUCUGAUACUGGAUGGCUUGGAUUCGGGAGAGGAAUGCGGAAUUCCAGGUGUAGCGGUGAAAUGCGUAGAUAUCUGGAGGAACACCGGUGGCGAAGGCGGCAUUCUGGACCGAUAUUGACGCUGAGGAGCGAAAGCCAGGGGAGCAAACGGG
rnacentral:rRNA from 1 species